rnacentral:tRNA from 1 species
GCGAGAGUGGCGGAAUUGGUAGACGCACUGGACUUAGAAUCCAGCGGUUUAUCCAUACGGGUUCAAGUCCCGUCUCUCGCA